GACGAACGCUGGCGGCGUGCCUAAUACAUGCAAGUAGAACGCUGAAGAGAGGAGCUUGCUCUUCUUGGAUGAGUUGCGAACGGGUGAGUAACGCGUAGGUAACCUGCCUGGUAGCGGGGGAUAACUAUUGGAAACGAUAGCUAAUACCGCAUAAAAUUGAUUAUUGCAUGAUAAUUAAUUGAAAGAUGCAACUGCAUCACUACCAGAUGGACCUGCGUUGUAUUAGCUAGUUGGUGAGGUAACGGCUCACCAAGGCGACGAUACAUAGCCGACCUGAGAGGGGGAUCGGCCACACUGGGACUGAGACACGGCCCAGACUCCUACGGGAGGCAGCAGUAGGGAAUCUUCGGCAAUGGGGGGAACCCUGACCGAGCAACGCCGCGUGAGUGAAGAAGGUUUUCGGAUCGUAAAGCUCUGUUGUAAGAGAAGAACGGGUGUGAGAGUGGAAAGUUCACGCUGUGACGGUAUCUUACCAGAAAGGGACGGCUAACUACGU
rnacentral:rRNA from 1 species